rnacentral:rRNA from 1 species
UACGUAGGGUGCGAGCGUUAAUCGGAAUUACUGGGCGUAAAGCGUGCGUAGACGGUUAUAUAAGUCGGGUGUGAAAGCCCCGGGCUCAACCUGGGAAUUGCAUUCGAGACUGCAUAGCUAGGGUGCGGAAGAGGGAAGCGGAAUUUCCGGUGUAGCGGUGAAGUGCGUAGAUAUCGGAAGGAACAUCAGUGGCGAAAGCGGCUUCCUGGUCCAGCACCGACGUUCAGGCACGAAAGCGUGGGGAGCAAACAGG